rnacentral:rRNA from 1 species
GACGAACGCUGGCGGCGUGCUUAACACAUGCAAGUCGAACGGAAAGGCCCUGCUUUUGUGGGGUGCUCGAGUGGCGAACGGGUGAGUAACACGUGAGUAACCUGCCCUUGACUUUGGGAUAACUUCAGGAAACUGGGGCUAAUCCCGGAUAGGAGCUCCUGCUGCAUGGUGGGGGUUGGAACGUUUCGGCGGUUGGGGAUGGACUCGCGGCUUAUCAGCUUGUUGGUGGGGUAGUGGCUUACCAAGGCUUUGACGGGUAGCCGGCCUGAGAGGGUGACCGGCCACAUUGGGACUGAGAUACGGCCCAGACUACUACGGGAGGCAGCAGUGGGGAAUAUUGCACAAUGGGCGGAAGCCUGAUGCAGCAACGCCGCGUGCGGGAUGACGGCCUUCGGGUUGUAAACCGCUUUCGCCUGUGACGAAGCGUGAGUGACGGUAAUGGGUAAAGAAGCACCGGCUAACUACGUG